rnacentral:rRNA from 1 species
AUUGAACGCUGGCGGCAUGCUUUACACAUGCAAGUCGAACGGUAACAGGCCGCCAGGUGCUGACGAGUGGCGAACGGGUGAGUAAUGCAUCGGAACGUGCCCAGUCGUGGGGGAUAACUACUCGAAAGAGUAGCUAAUACCGCAUACGAUCUAUGGAUGAAAGCGGGGGACCGUAAGGCCUCGCGCGAUUGGAGCGGCCGAUGUCAGAUUAGGUAGUUGGUGGGGUAAAGGCUCACCAAGCCAACGAUCUGUAGCUGGUCUGAGAGGACGACCAGCCACACUGGGACUGAGACACGGCCCAGACUCCUACGGGAGGCAGCAGUGGGGAAUUUUGGACAAUGGGCGCAAGCCUGGUCCAGCAAUGCCGCGUGCAGGAAGAAGGCCUUCGGGUCGUAAACUGCUUUUGUACGGAACGAAACGGCUCUGGUUAAUACCCGGGGCUAAUGACGGUACCGUAAGAAUAAGCACCGGCUAACUACGUG